rnacentral:rRNA from 1 species
AUGGCAAGGGGGCGCGGGACGGGUCCGGUCUCACGCCGGCGCCCGCCGAAGGCGGUCCGCGGCGGCGGCGAAGACAGGAUCAGCGCCCUCCCCGACGAUCUCCUCCUCCUCAUCCUGCGCCGCGUCGACACCCGCACGACGCUCGGCACUGCGUUGCUGUCCAGGCGCUGGUCCCGCCUUCCCCCCGAGCUCCCCGCCAUGGACUUCAGUGUCUUCGACGUGCUCCCGGAGCGCUACUGCCGCUGGCUCCGCCUCCAUCUCCGGCUCGCCGACGCCACGGAUGAGGAGAGGGUCGUGGCUAACUUGAUGAUGUACGAGCGCCGCGCCAUGCGCGCCCUGACCAGCUUCAUCAAGAGCCGCCUCUUGCUGGACGCUCCCCCGAGGCUCCGCCGGCUGAGGCUCCAGUUCUUCUCCGCCGGCAAUAACAGCGGCCUCAUCAACCAUCGAGAAACCGUGCAACGAGAUUUGUUUGAGACAAAAAAAGGCUACCAGACCAUGUGUGUGUGCACGAGAGCAGUUUUGUGGGUGGACCAAGUUUGGUCCUGUUCUGCUAAGGCCAUCGACGACUGGGGGGUCAGCAAUCUGGAGGCCGUCGCCGCGCCGUUCUACACGCAACCGGCCACCGCCCACGCUUUUCCCAGCCACGGCCUCUGCGAGCAUCCCCGCGCGUCGCGCCUGCGGAAGCUCAAGCUCGGGGGCUGCGCCGCGCUCCCGCUGCUGCACGAGUACGACACGCUUACCAAGCUCGUCCAGCAAGACAUGCCGGAAUCGGUGCCCGUCGCGGCCUACGAGACUCAAGUGGUUUGA